GUGUUAACAACAGCAGCAGUCCCCACAAAUACAGACUCUGCAGUUAUUGCAGUUGUUAUCGUUCUCAUCCUGCUGACGGUGCUCAUUUUGGGCGCCCUGCUUUAUCGGUAUCUCUGCCAUAACAAGGGAGACUACAGGACAACAGGGGAACUGGCUCCAGGUGAAGACCCCGAUGAAGAGUACAGUAACCAGGCUGCGAGCGAAAAGAAGGAAUAUUUCAUAUGAACCUGGUGGAUGUGAAGAUUUAAGGAACAAAACGGUCCGUGGAAGAGUGAAAAGUGUUGGGUUUUUUUCCCACUAUCCACUUGCUGCACACUGGUCAGGGUAACAGAUUUUAUAGUUAAAAACAGAAGUGUAAAAAAAAAAAAGAA